GCGGGGGUUGCCGAGCUGGACAAAGGCGCCAGAUUCAGGGUCUGGUCCCGUAGGGGUCCGGGGGUUCAAAUCCCCUCCCCCGCA
rnacentral:tRNA from 1 species